rnacentral:rRNA from 1 species
GAUGAACGCUGGCGGCGUGCCUAAUACAUGCAAGUCGAGCGAACAGACGAGGAGCUUGCUCCUCUGACGUUAGCGGCGGACGGGUGAGUAACACGUGGAUAACCUACCUAUAAGACUGGGAUAACUUCGGGAAACCGGAGCUAAUACCGGAUAAUAUAUUGAACCGCAUGGUUCAAUAGUGAAAGACGGUUUUGCUGUCACUUAUAGAUGGAUCCGCGCCGCAUUAGCUAGUUGGUAAGGUAACGGCUUACCAAGGCAACGAUGAGUAGCGGACCUGAGAGGGGAAUCGGCCACACUGGAACUAAGACACGGUCCGAACUCCUACGGGAGGCGGCAGUAGGGAAUCUUCCGCAAUGGGCGAAAGCUUGACGGGGCAACGCCGCGUGAGGGAUGAAGGUCUUCGGAUCGUAAAACUCUGUUAUUAGGGAGGAACAAAUGUGUAAGUAACUGUGCACGUCUUGACGGUACCUAAUCAGAAAGCCACGGCUAACUACGUG